GGAAUCCUACGGGAGGCAGCAGUGGGGGAUAUUGCACAAUGGGGGAAACCCUGAUGCAGCGACGCCGCGUGAGCGAAGAAGUAUUUCGGUAUGUAAAGCUCUAUCAGCAGGGAAGAAAAUGACGGUACCUGACUAAGAAGCUCCGGCUAAAUACGUGCCAGCAGCCGCGGUAAUACGUAUGGAGCAAGCGUUAUCCGGAUUUACUGGGUGUAAAGGGAGCGUAGGCGGUAAGGCAAGUCUGAUGUGAAAGGCCAGAGCUCAACCCUGGAACUGCAUUGGAAACUGUUUAACUGGAGUGUCGGAGG
rnacentral:rRNA from 1 species